rnacentral:rRNA from 1 species
CCUACGGGGGGCAGCAGUGAGGAAUAUUGGUCAAUGGGCGCGAGCCUGAACCAGCCAAGUAGCGUGAAGGAUGACUGCCCUACGGGUUGUAAACUUCUUUUAUAAGGGAAUAAAGUGUGGGACGUGUCCUGUUUUGUAUGUACCUUAUGAAUAAGGAUCGGCUAACUCCGUGCCAGCAGCCGCGGUAAUACGGAGGAUCCGAGCGUUAUCCGGAUUUAUUGGGUUUAAAGGGUGCGUAGGCGGCCUUUUAAGUCAGCGGUGAAAGUCUGUGGCUCAACCAUAGAAUUGCCGUUGAAACUGGGAGGCUUGAGUAUGUGUGAGGCAGGCGGAAUGCGUGGUGUAGCGGUGAAAUGCUUAGAUAUCACGCAGAACCCCGAUUGCGAAGGCAGCCUGCCAAGCCAUGACUGACGCUGAUGCACGAAAGCGUGGGGAUCAAACAGGAUUAGAUACCCGAGUAGUC